GGCUGAGAGAUCAGCUGUUCCCUUCGGGGACAGAAUGACAGGUGGUGCAUGGUUGUCGUCAGCUCGUGUCGUGAGAUGUUGGGUUAAGUCCCGCAACGAGCGCAACCCUUAUGAUCAGUUGCCAGCAUUCAGUUGGGCACUCUGGUCAGACUGCCGGUGACAAACCGGAGGAAGGCGGGGAUGACGUCAAAUCAUCAUGCCCCUUAUGACCUGGGCUACACACGUGCUACAAUGGGUGGUACAACGAGCAGCGAGACCGCGAGGUCAAGCGAAUCUCUAAAAACCAUCCUCAGUUCGGAUUGCAGGCUGCAACUCGCCUGCAUGAAGCUGGAAUCGCUAGUAAUCGCGGAUCAGCACGCCGCGGUGAAUACGUUCCCGGGUCUUGUACACACCGA
rnacentral:rRNA from 1 species